UUCACAACCAGGAACAACUGGCCUCAAAAUAAACUGCAACUUAACACUCAGCAAGUUGUUGCCAUAGCUGGAAUAUGUUCAUUCAGUCUCGACUUCCCUAUGCUGUGCCUUCCGUGUUGGAACAUACUGAUUCAUAGAUCACCGAGUCCUUCACCUGGUAUUAUAAACCAAGAACUGAAAGGACUAACCACAGGACUGGAAAGAAGGCAUUGAGAUUUGGAGACUGUGUCAAAGCAGGGAGAGUCCAACACGUACACAAAGCAAAGCUGAAAGCGCAUGCUGGGAAGAUGACUAAAGAAACAGAAUGGAAAGAGUCCCUCUUCUAUUACUACUGCAUCAAAUUUGCUCUCUCUGCCUAUGCCACCCUGUUCUCGAUCAUAGGUCUGGUGAUUCUGUGCAUUGGCAUAUAUGCAGAAGUGGAGCGGCAGAAGCACAAAACCUUGGAAGGGAUCUUCCUGGCUCCAGCUGUGAUCCUGCUUCUCCUGGGCAUCACUAUGUUUGUCGUUUCCUUCAUCGGAACAGUUGGAUCCCUCAGAGACAACCGGACACUGCUGAA